rnacentral:rRNA from 1 species
AUUGAACGCUGGCGGCAUGCUUUACACAUGCAAGUCGAACGGUAACAGGCCGCAAGGUGCUGACGAGUGGCGAACGGGUGAGUAAUGCAUCGGAACGUGCCUAGUCGUGGGGGAUAACGCAGCGAAAGCUGCGCUAAUACCGCAUACGAUCUGUGGAUGAAAGCGGGGGACCGAAAGGCCUCGCGCGAUUGGAGCGGCCGAUGUCAGAUUAGGUAGUUGGUGGGGUAAAGGCCCACCAAGCCAACGAUCUGUAGCUGGUCUGAGAGGACGACCAGCCACACUGGGACUGAGACACGGCCCAGACUCCUACGGGAGGCAGCAGUGGGGAAUUUUGGACAAUGGGCGGAAGCCUGAUCCAGCAAUGCCGCGUGCAGGAAGAAGGCCUUCGGGUUGUAAACUGCUUUUGUACGGAACGAAACGGCUCUGGUUAAUACCUGGGGCUAAUGACGGUACCGUAAGAAUAAGCACCGGCUAACUACGUGCCAGCCGCCGCCGUAACAC